GAUCCUGGCUCAGGAUGAACGCUAGCUACAGGCUUAACACAUGCAAGUCGAGGGGAAACGGAUAUUGGAAGCUUGCUUCCGAUAGGCGUCGACCGGCGCACGGGUGAGUAACGCGUAUCCAACCUGCCCAUCACUUGGGAAUAACCUUACGAAAGUAAGACUAAUGCCCAAUGACAUUUAUAGAAGGCAUCUGAAAUGAAUUAAAGAUUUAUCGGUGAUGGAUGGGGAUGCGU
rnacentral:rRNA from 1 species